UACGAAGGGGGCUAGCGUUGCUCGGAAUCACUGGGCGUAAAGCGCACGUAGGCGGACUCUUAAGUCGGUGGUGAAAUCCUGGAGCUCAACUCCAGAACUGCCUUCGAUACUGGGAGUCUCGAGUUCGGGAGAGGUGAGUGGAACUGCGAGUGUAGAGGUGAAAUUCGUAGAUAUUAGGAAGAACACCAGUGGCGAAGGCGGCUUACUGGUCCGGUACUGACGCUGAGGUGCGAAAGCGUGGGGAGCAAACAGG
rnacentral:rRNA from 1 species